GCAGCAGCUUAUGCAGCAGUGGAAAUCCCCACCCCAGACCCCAGCAAGCGGUGGUUCCUCCCAGAGAGACUGAGCGGUCCAGGAGAGGAGGGUGAGCAGGCGUCUACAGCUGAUUGAGAGUCAAAUGUCGAAAAUGAGGAAGCCCCAUUGAGAAGAAAGCAAAUUGGCCUGAGGAGGCCGUCAGACCAUCCUAGGAUCAAAUGUCCGCUGAACAACUUAUUCGAGAGCCCAGUGUUUCCUCUUUUCAGAAUUGAGCUGACAGAAUCAAUAAAUUUGGAGCAUCUUGAAAACAAUGAUUCGCUUCACAAAAAAAAAAAGUUUACAAGAGACAGAAUUAAGUUUACCUUCUCACAUCAUUGAAGACAGAAAAUAACCUGCCUCCUUGAAUAGCAGUCCAACCCACAAACAGAGACCAAAAUAUUGUAUGAAGUCCUUCGAGCACCAUUACUGUUACACCUCAUGGUCCUCUAGGGGUGGUCAUUCUUAGUAGAAUUCCUUACACCCCUCUCUGACGGCAGGUGCAAUCCUGCGGGUCACUGGAAGAGGGCACUGAAGAAAAACAUGGUGGUUACUUUUUGGAUUAAAAAUGAAAGAGAA
rnacentral:lncRNA from 1 species